GGGGGUGUGGCUCAGUGGUAGAGUGCAUGCUUAGCAUGUAUGAGACCCUGGGUUCAAUCCCAGUACUCCCA
rfam:TPA: Bos taurus chromosome 18, whole genome shotgun sequence.